rnacentral:rRNA from 1 species
CUCAGGAUGAACGCUGGCGGCGUGCCUAAUACAUGCAAGUCGAGCGAUGAGGCUCCUUCGGGAGUACAUCAGCGGCGAACGGGUGAGUAACACGUGGGUGACUUGCCCCGAAGAUGGGGAUAACCUCUGGAAACGGGGGCUAAUACCCAAUGUGCUCGGUGAUUCGGUUCAUCGAGUAAAGCUCCGGCGCUUCGGGAGAGGCCUGCGGCCCAUCAGCUAGUUGGUAGGGUAACGGCCUACCAAGGCAGAGACGGGUAGGGGGCGUGAGAGCGCGGACCCCCACACUGGCACUGAGAUACGGGCCAGACUCCUACGGGAGGCAGCAGUAAGGGAUAUUGCGCAAUGGACGAAAGUCAGACGCAGCGACGCCGCGUGGGCGAUGAAGGCCUUCGGGUUGUAAAGCCCUUUUAUGGGGGAAGAGAAAAAGGACGGUACCCCAGGAAUAAGUCCCGGCUAACUACGUGCCAGCAGCCGCGGUAAAACGUAGGGGACAAGCGUUAUCCGGAUUCACUGGGCGUAAAGAGCGUUGAGGCGGUUCCGUAAGUUGGGCGUGAAAGCUCCGGGCUUAACUCGGAGAUGUCGUUCAAUACUGCGGGGCUUGAGGACAGCAGAGGAAGGUGGAAUUCCCGGUGUAGUGGUGAAAUGCGUAGAUAUCGGGAGGAACACCCGUGGCGAAGGCGGCCUUCUGGGCUGUUCCUGACGCUGAAGGCGAAAGCUAGGGGAGCGAGCGGGAUUAGAUACCCCGGUAGUCCUAGCUGUAAACGAUGGAUGC